rnacentral:rRNA from 1 species
CCUACGGGAGGCAGCAGUGAGGAAUAUUGGACAAUGGGCGAGAGCCUGAUCCAGCCAUGCCGCGUGCAGGAAGACUGCCCUAUGGGUUGUAAACUGCUUUUAUAUAGGAAGAAACCUAUCCACGUGUGGGUAGCUGACGGUACUAUAAGAAUAAGGAUCGGCUAACUCCGUGCCAGCAGCCGCGGUAAUACGGAGGAUCCAAGCGUUAUCCGGAAUCAUUGGGUUUAAAGGGUCCGUAGGUGGAUAAUUAAGUCAGAGGUGAAAUCCUGCAGCUCAACUGUAGAAUUGCCUUUGAUACUGGUUAUCUUGAAUUAUUGUGAAGUGGUUAGAAUAUGUAGUGUAGCGGUGAAAUGCAUAGAUAUUACAUAGAAUACCAAUUGCGAAGGCAGAUCACUAACAAUAUAUUGACACUGAUGGACGAAAGCGUGGGGAGCGAACAGGAUUAGAUACCCCAGUAGUC